GUAAUUACAUAAUAGCGUUCCUAUAAUUACUGAGCUUAGACAAUGAUCGAUUUCACUCUUGAACUUGAAAAAUCAAACUAAUGUGUGUACAAAUUUGUUGUGAUGAUUUUGAUAAGAGCAAUAUUAUGAUCGCCGAAUUAACUGAUCGAAGGCAAAUAAGACCAAAUUCUGAGCCUCAAAUAGAUAGUACCAUUUUUGCUGGGGCUUUAUCAUACAGGUUUUCUUCUAGUUUGUACCGCCACCCAAAAAAUGUUUUAGGUAAAUGAACCUCCAGACCGGCUGAGGGACUAGAGAAGGUCCCUACCUAGUCCCGCGAUUGGCAGUUUGGCUGGCCCCUCAAAUUUGAUUUUGCCUAAAUCAUACAAGAUAAACUAGCCCUUCUCAAGAAGCCCUUCCCUCAAAACAACAGAAACGGCAUUGGAAAAAGGAGUUGGAAUUAACCAGUAUGUGCUCUUUCAUAGUAAGACAAUCCUCAUCUUCUGAUCUCUCAAUAGUUGGAUAUUUAUUAUCUCAAGAAAGUCGUCAAAGUAUCAGAAAAAGAAAGAAGUAUGUUAAUGAGGCAUUAUAAUGAUAUUAUGUAGAAAUUUAAGUCUUGUAAAAGUUUGGAAACAAAGAAAAUGAAAAAUACAUACUUUACAAAUAGGUCUUAGAAGAUUGAAAAAUAAAAUAAUAUCAAUGCAUCAGUUAAUUGAUUACUUAAAAGAAAAAUCUUUGAUAAGUGUAUCAACUGAAUUCAGGCUUCCUUAGCUGAACCAGUACAAAGUAUUUUUGAAAGAAUGUUAAAAGGGCCUGCCACACAAAAAUCCAAUCUUCUGCUACUAUCCUUUGCUUUAACAUUGUCAUUUUAUUCGCCGAAAACAUAGAAUUUAUAAGGGAUACAUAAACUGGCCCAGAGUUUUCUUUAGGAGGCCUCUAAAUUCCAUUUAGUUUUCAACAAUAUUUUUGAUAUUUUUAACUCUCAAAAUGGAUUUACAAAAUAUUCAUAUAAAAAAAUUAUCAAAAAUAUAAGAACAACAUACUUUUUAAUAAUUUUGAAAUAAUUAAAUUGUAUAUUAUUGGACUUACUUUAAAAGAAAGGUCAACCAUAGUCACAAAGAAAAACGGGAUUUUUGGCUUUCUAAUUUGUAUGGAAAGCUUACAACUUGUAUGUAUAAAUACUAUGUAAAAGAAAAUCAUUUAUUAAAAUAUAUUUUGACUAACUGGUGGAGGUCCACGUAUACAAAAAGCAAAAACGGAAGAUAAUAAUAUAUUCAAUCAAUGUAAAAAUGAGAAGAGCAUUGUGGGAUUAAAAAACAUGAUGGUGAUAGAUUGUCUAAAACUAAUAGGAGUACUGGUAUUUCUCAAAACAAAACUGAUAGUUACAAAGAAACAGAAGAAAAGGGAAGAUAUUAAUUUACUAGA
rnacentral:lncRNA from 1 species